GCGGAUGUGGCGGAAUUGGCAGACGCGUAGGACUCAGGAUCCUAUGGUGAAAAACCGUGUGGGUUCAAGUCCCACCAUCCGCA
rfam:Hydrogenobaculum sp. Y04AAS1, complete genome.